rnacentral:lncRNA from 1 species
GUUCGGUGCGUAGUUAGUUCACAUUCGGUGCGUCACAUAAUCACAUUCGUGGUUGGGGUUUGAGAAGAGGAUUGUCCAGAGAUUAGGAUGGGAUUAUUCAUGAGUUCACAUUCGGUGCGUCACAUAAUCACAUUCGGUAAUUCGGUGCGUCAUAUUCUAUAACUCGGUGCGUCAUAUACGGUAAUUCGGGGCGUCAAAUUCAUAUUUGCUAUAAACAAUAUUACUAUAUCCAUAUACAUAUAUCACAUCACAUAAUCUUAAAGACCAUAAAAGCAUAUAAAAACGACUUUA